GACGAACGCUGGCGGCGUGCUUAACACAUGCAAGUCGAACGGAAAGGCCCUGCUUUUGUGGGGUGCUCGAGUGGCGAACGGGUGAGUAACACGUGAGUAACCUGCCCUUGACUUUGGGAUAACUUCAGGAAACUGGGGCUAAUACCGGAUAGGAGCUCCUGCUGCAUGGUGGGGGUUGGAAAGUUUCGGCGGUUGGGGAUGGACUCGCGGCUUAUCAGCUUGUUGGUGGGGUAGUGGCUUACCAAGGCUUUGACGGGUAGCCGGCCUGAGGGGGUGACCGGCCCAUUGGGGAUGGGGAUACGGCCAGACCCCAUGGGGGGGCAGCCGGGGGGAAUAUUGCAAAAGGGGGGGGAGCCGUAAGCAGCCACCGCCGGGUGGGGAGUGCGGCCGUUGGGUUGUAAACCCCUUUCGCCUGGGGCGAAGGGUGGGGGGAGGUGAGGGGGAAAAGAAGCCCCGGCUAACUAGGGG
rnacentral:rRNA from 1 species